AAAUAAUCUCAAUGCUUGUGGUAC
rnacentral:siRNA from 1 species